rnacentral:rRNA from 1 species
AGUGAACGCUGGCGGCAUGCCUAACACAUGCAAGUCGAGCGGCAGCACGGGUAGCAAUACCUGGUGGCGAGCGGCGGACGGGUGAGGAAUACAUCGGAAUCUGCCUUGUUGUGGGGGAUAACGUAGGGAAACUUACGCUAAUACCGCAUAAGACCGAGAGGUGAAAGCGGGGAUCGAAAGACCUCGCGCGACAAGAUGAGCCGAUGUCGGAUCAGCAGUUGGCGGGGUAAAGGCCCGCCAAGGCGACGAUCCGUAGCUGGUCUGAGAGGAUGAUCAGCCACACUGGAACUGAGACACGGUCCAGACUCCUACGGGAGGCAGCAGUGGGGAAUAUUGGACAAUGGGCGCAAGCCUGAUCCAGCCAUGCCGCGUGGGUGAAGAAGGCCUU